rnacentral:lncRNA from 1 species
UUGCUUUGUCCAAGAACUCUGCAAAAUGGUCAGGAAAUUAUUUUUAUUAAUCAUUUCCACCUCAAGUUCAGAAGCUCAUCACAGCUAGGAUACUAAAACUUCUUUGAAAAGCGAACUUAUUGUAUACCUGUGUACCACUCCCAUCAUCGCUUCCAUCACCAACAUUCGGACCAAAGCUACCAUCAACAUCCUCAUCACUGCUGCUGCUGUUAUUGUUGGACUUCUCAACAUUUUUUGAUCUUACGGACUUUUGAGUUUGAGUUACACUGCCACUUUCACUUC